CGUAGAUAGUCUCUGUCCGCCUCGACGGAAUGCCAACUAACACAAUUCUAUAAUCUAAUGAAGGAAAAUCUACUGAAAUAAAUAGCAGUCCAUGCAAUGCAAGGCAAGGUCAUAAAAAGAACCAUACAUAUGAUGCAAACGAUAAAAUAUUGUUUGUCUAAAGACUUAUACAUUAAUAAGUAUGGCAAAUCCUUGUGUACAAAGAACAAAAAGACAUAGACAACGAGAAAGGGAGCACCUACGGUGGUAAAGAUAUCAGAUGCCAUGCUUGUGAAAAUUACUUUCUUUACAUAUAGUAUAGUUAAGCCACGG
rnacentral:lncRNA from 1 species